rnacentral:antisense_RNA from 1 species
UUUAUUCGCGGGUUGGGUCUGGGGGUCGCAAGACCCGCCGGUUUCCUUGUGGGCCGGUAUGUCAACCAGAUUCAACCCGU